rnacentral:rRNA from 1 species
AUGGCGCCUGUGGUUAGCGCUGCACUCGGCGCCUUGGGUCCCCUGCUGGUGAAGCUCAGCGGCCUGCUCGCCGGCGAGUAUGGCCGCCUCAAAGGGGUCCGCCGUGAGAUUCGCUCCCUAGAAUCUGAGCUCACCAGCAUGCAUGCUGCCUUGGAAGAGUACACUAAGCUGGAAGAUCCAAGUGGGCAAGUGAAGGCAUGGAUAUCUCUGGUGCGGGAGCUGGCAUAUGAUACCAAGGACAUCUUCGACAAGUUCAUCCAUCACCUUGGUAAGCGUGGUCAUCGUGGUGGUUUCAAGGAGUUCUUGCGCAAGAUAACUCUCCCUCUGAAGACGCUUGGAGCUCGGCGUGAAAUCGCCGACCAAAUCGAUGACCUGAAGGAUCGCAUCAAGCAAGUGAAAGAUCUCAAGGAUAGUUACAAGUUGAAUGAUGUUCCUUCGAGCACGACUGGCCAUCUGGCCGUGGAUCCCCGACUGCAUGCAGUCUUUGCUGAGGAGGCACACCUUGUGGGCGUGGAUGGUCCAAGGGAUGAUCUUGCCAAGUGGAUGGUGGAAGAAGGAAACAACUCAUCCAAACCUCGCAAGGUGUUAUCUAUUGUUGGUUUUGGUGGAUUGGGAAAAACAACACUGGCAAAUGAGGUCUAUCGCAAGAUUCAAGAGCAAUUUGAUUGUAAGGCUUUCGUAUCGGUCUCGCAAAAACCAGACAUAAAGAAAAUUAUGAAGGAUGUGAUCUCUCAAGUGUCAUGCCAAGGUGGAUCCACAAAAGAUACUAGUGAUUGGGAUGAAAUUAAGUCCAUUUCAAAGCUAAGAGAACUACUGCAAAAUAAAAGGUAUCUCAUCAUCAUUGAUGAUGUAUGGUCUGCACAAGCAUGGAAAACUAUCAAGUGCGCUUUCCCAGAGAACAAUUGCUCUAGCAGAAUUAUAGUUACUACACGCAUCAUUGAUGUAGCCAAGUCAUGUUGUUUGGGAGGUGAUGACCAGAUGUAUGAACUAAAAUCCCUAAGUGAUCUCCACUCUAGAAUAUUGUUUUUCACAAGAAUAUUUGGCUCCGGGAAAAAUUGCCCUGACAUGUUGGAAGAAGUUUCAAAUAAUAUUCUAAAGAAAUGUGGAGGCCUACCAUUGGCAAUUAUAAGUAUAGCUGGUUUACUAGCAAACCGACCAGUUAUCAAGGAAGAGUGGGAGAAGGUUAAGAGGUCAAUUGGUUCUGCACUGGAGAAAACUAAGAGUCUAGAGGGCAUGAGUAGCAUACUAUCUCUGAGCUAUAAUGAUCUUGCACCUAAUCUCAAGACGUGCUUGUUGUAUCUAAGUUUAUUUCCCGAAGACCAUGUGAUUGAGAGAACUAGGCUAGUGAGGCUAUGGAUAGCAGAAGGCUUCAUCUCUGAAGAGCGUGGACAGAGCAAGCAAGAGGCCGCUGAGAAUUACUUCUAUGAGCUUAUCAACAAAAGUAUGGUUCAACCAGUGGACAUUGGCUUUGAUGGUAAGGUUCGAGCAUGUCGAGUCCAUGACAUGAUGCUUGAACUUAUUAUUUCAAAAUCAGUUGAAGAUAAUUUUACCACUAUGGUAGGUGGAGGCCAAAGUUUGAAAAAUCAACAGGGUUUUAUUCGGCGGCUAUCAAUCCAGUACAUUGACAAGGAACUUGCAUCUGCACUGGCAAAUCUAGAUCUAAGCCAUGUUCGAACUUUGAUAGUAAUGCCAUCAUGUUGCAUCGAACACAUGCCAAGGCUUGAUCUGUUUGAAGCUUUACGUGUUCUUGAUUUUGAAGGUUAUGAGGAUUUAAAGGACUUUGAUAUGAACGGUAUGGAAAAAUUAGUCCAACUAAAGUACCUCAACUUUAGGGGCAAAUAUAUAUCAAAGCUACCAUCAGGAAUCGUGAUGCUAACUAAUCUAGAGACCCUAAUUUUUGGGUAUACACGUGAUCAAGAGUCGCCUGCUGGCUUUGGCCGGCUAACUAAACUUGAACACCUACAAGGAUAUUGGUUGACUCUAUCAGAUGGGAUUGGGGAUAUGAAGAACUUACAGUUGAUGUCAGGCUUGGUUAUUACCUCCAGUAUAACGGAUGUGUUGGAGGAUCUCGGGAGCCUAACAAGUUUGAAGGAGCUCAAGGUUUGUCUCCGCCUUGCAAACGGAAUAUCUGAUCUAGUAUCUUGCGAGGACAAGAGAUGUGAAGAGGCGUUCCUCUCCUCACUGUGCAAGCUUGGUACCUGCAAACUCCGAUCUUUGGAUAUAACACCGAGCGGUGCUUCCCUUGACUUCUUAGAUUCUUGGUGCCCUCUGCCAUCUUCUCUUCAAAGGUUUUACACGCACUACAUGGAUUCGUUCACCAAGUUUCCAAAGUGGAUUACACCAGCACUCACUAACCUUGCCGACCUGGGCAUCUGCAUAGCUGAAAUGACAGAAGAUGAUCUGGUUACUCUUGGGCAGCUCCCAUCCUUACUUCGCCUGUUCCUAUGGCCAUCAAAUAAGUUGGUUGGCACAAUCCAACGCAAUUCUUUCCUGAAUCUGAAGGUUUUGGACUUCGAAUUUAAGACUAAACGAGCAUAUGUUACGUUUGUGGAAGGGUCUGCGCCCAAGCUUGAGGAACUUACCAUCACAUUCAGUGUGUCGGCAGCAAAAGCUAAUGACUUCUAUUCAGGCAUUGAGCAUCUCUCAUCUCUCAAAGAAGCUAGGAUAUAUCUUGAUGAUGAAGAUGCGACACGUUCAGAAUGCAAGGCUGCAGCUGCUGAGAUCAGGAAUGAAGCGGGUGUCAAUCCCAACCAUCCUGCACUUAUUAUUGAGAGGGAACCAAAGGGAGAGGACGAUGAAGAGGCCAGUGGUAGUAACGAGGAGAAGAGCAAGGGAGUUUCUGAUGAGGUUUAA